UGGUGGACGAGAUCGGCCACUUCGACCUCCUCGUCAAGGUCUACUUCAAGAACGAGCACCCAAAGUUCCCCGCCGGCGGGCUCAUGACGCAGUACCUCGACUCGCUUCCCGUCGGCUCCUACAUCGACGUCAAGGGCCCGCUCGGCCACGUCGAGUACACCGGCCGCGGCAGCUUCGUCAUCAACGGCAAGCAGCGCCACGCGAGCCGCCUCGCCAUGAUCUGCGGCGGCAGCGGGAUCACGCCCAUGUACCAGGUCAUCCAGGCGGUGCUGCGCGACCAGCCGGAGGACCAGACGGAGAUGCACCUCGUGUACGCCAACCGGACGGAGGACGACAUCCUCCUCCGCGACGAGCUCGACCGGUGGGCGGCAGAGUACCCGGACAGGCUCAAGGUGUGGUACGUGAUCGACCAGGUGAAGCGCCCCGAGGAGGGG
rnacentral:lncRNA from 1 species